rnacentral:rRNA from 1 species
UACGUAGGGUGCGAGCGUUAAUCGGAAUUACUGGGCGUAAAGCGUGCGCAGGCGGUUCGCUGUGUCCUGUGUGAAAGCCCCGGGCUUAACCUGGGAAUGGCAUGGGAAACUGGCGGACUGGAGUGUGGCAGAGGGGGGUGGAAUUCCCGGUGUAGCGGUGAAAUGCGCAGAUAUCGGGAAGAACACCCGUGGCUAAGGCGGCUCUCUAGUACGGUACUGACGCUGAGACGCGAAAGCGUGGGGAGCGAACAGG